GUGGGGAAUAUUGGGCAAUGGGGGCAACCCUGACCCAGCGACGCCGCGUGAGGGAAGAAGGCCUUAGGGUCGUAAACCUCUGUUGUGUGGGAAGAAGGAAGUGACGGUACCACACGAGGAAGUCCCGGCUAACUACGUGCCAGCAGCCGCGGUAAUACGUAGGGGACGAGCGUUGUCCGGAAUUACUGGGCGUAAAGGGCGCGUAGGCGGUCAUUUAAGUCAGCGGUGAAAUGGUCCGGCUCAACCGGAUCAUGCGGUUGAAACUGGAUGACUGGAGUGCUGGAGAGGCAAGUGGAAUUCCCAGUGUAGCGGUGAAAUGCGUAGAUAUUGGGAAGAACACCGGUGGCGAAGGCGACUUGCUGGCCAGCAACUGACGCUGAGGCGCGAAAGCCAGGGGAGCAAACGGGAUUAGAAACCCUUGUAGUCC
rnacentral:rRNA from 1 species